GAUGAACGCUGGCGGCGUGCCUAAUACAUGCAAGUCGAAGCGGGGAAGGGGGAGUAACACGUGGAUAACCUCCUAUAGUACUGGGCUAAUUUCGGGAAACUGGAGCUAGACCGAAUACUUAUUGAUGGAUCGGUGCUGCAUUAGCGAGUUGGUAAGGUAACGGCUUACCAAGGCAACGAUGCAUAGCCGCCCUGAGAGGGUGAUCGGCCACACUGGAACUGAGACACGGUCCAGACUCCUACGGGAGGCAGCAGUAGGGAAUCUUCGGCAAUGGGCGAAAGCCUGACGGAGCAACGCCGCGUGAGUGAAGAAGGUUUUCGGAUCGUAAAACUCUGUUAUUAGGGAAGCGGUACCUAAUCAGAAAGCCACGGCUAACUACGUGCCAGCAGCCGCGGUAAUAC
rnacentral:rRNA from 1 species